rnacentral:tRNA from 2 species
GGCGUAGCUCAGUUUGGUAGAGCAACGGACUCCAAAUCCGUGGGCCGAGGGUUCGAGUCCUUCCACCC